rnacentral:misc_RNA from 1 species
GCGGAGGAAAAGAAACCAACAGGGAUUGCCUCAGUAACGGCGAGUGAAGCGGCAACAGCUCAAAUUUGAAAUCUGGCCCCCUCGGGGUCCGAGUUGUAAUUUGUAGAAGAUGCUUCGGGUGUGGCCCCGGUCUAAGUUCCUUGGAACAGGACGUCACAGAGGGUGAGAAUCCCGUAUGUGACCGGUGGCCUCCCCCGUGUGAAGCUCUUUCGACGAGUCGAGUUGUUUGGGAAUGCAGCUCAAAAUGGGUGGUAAAUUUCAUCUAAAGCUAAAUAUUGGCCAGAGACCGAUAGCGCACAAGUAGAGUGAUCGAAAGAUGAAAAGCACUUUGGAAAGAGGGUUAAACAGUACGUGAAAUUGUUGAAAGGGAAGCGCUUGCAACCAGACUUGCGCGCGGUCGAUCAUCCGGGGUUCUCCCCGGUGCACUCGGCCGUGCGCAGGCCAGCAUCGGUUUGGGCGGCCGGACAAAGGCCUCGGGAAUGUGGCUCCUUCGGGAGUGUUAUAGCCCGAGGUGCAAUGCGGCCAGCCCGGACCGAGGACCGCGCUUCGGCUAGGAUGCUGGCGUAAUGGUUGUAAGCGGCCCGUCUUGAAACACGGACCAAGGAGUCUAACAUCUAUGCGAGUGUUUGGGUGGCAAACCCAUCCGCGUAAUGAAAGUGAACGGAGGUGAGAACCCUUAAGGGCGCAUCAUCGACCGAUCCUGAUGUCUUCGGAUGGAUUUGAGUAAGAGCAUAGCUGUUGGGACCCGAAAGAUGGUGAACUAUGCCUGAAUAGGGUGAAGCCAGAGGAAACUCUGGUGGAGGCUCGCAGCGGUUCUGACGUGCAAAUCGAUCGUCAA